GCCCGCAUGGCUCAGUGGUAGAGCGCAUCACUAGUAACCUGACUCUUCGCAGAGCAAUCUCUAGGUCAAUGAUGAGGUCGUCAGUUCGAUUCUGGCUGUGGGCA